GGCGGAACACGAAACAGGUUUGGAAGCUUCUUAUGCAAUAUCUCCAAAAUUAUUUUUGUAUCCAAGUCAUUGCCUUUAGGAACAGGAAAUCAUUAGAAAUAAAAAACAUCUUAUAAAAUCAUGGGAAAUAAAUAAAUAACAAACUUCCAUUGAAAAAUUCUAGGUUAAAUUCAAUCAUGAAAUAAUUACAAAACAGUGUCAAUGUAAACAAAAUGCAAACGUAUCAAAGAUUCAACUUAUUUUUUUUGAAAAAAGCCAAGAUAAUUAUAUUAACAAUGAUGAUGGCAUAAGGUCAUUGGCUCAAUAUCAGAAAGGUUAUUCCAAUCUAUAACUCAAUUAUGCGGAACUGGUUAUUCCAAUCUCAUUUAUUGGGAAACAAAGUUAACUUAAAUAUCUACACAAUUAUGCAGAGAUUAUGACAAGUUAUUAGUAAAAAAUNNNNNNNNNNNNNNNNNGAACACUAUUAUACUUACUUGCAAGUCACACACCAAUACCAAGUUAGCCUCACAAAUAGUAGUACAAAAGUCAUACACUAACACCAAGUAUCAAAACAAUAUGAUAGUGACAUAGAAUACACACAUUACUUUCAUACCCUACUUACCCAAAUCUGUAACUAAAAACCAUGAAACAUUAUAUAUAACAGGAUUCAAAACUAAAGCCACUAUCAUUAGCAAGAGAAUAUAAUACCAAAAGUCAUAUUUCUAAGUUAUUUCUAGAUUUCUCUAAAAAAAUCCACAAAUUCACAUAACCAAAGACAAAUGAUAACCAAAGACAAAUUGGACACUGUUCUGAAAAUAGAGAUUGGUAACAUGAUAAAAAGGGGCCUGAUAAUUGGAUCCUUUAAUUUAGGGCCUAAUUGACACCUCUAAUUGUAUCAUCAUUCUACAAUAAGGAAAAAAAAUAAACAAGUUAAGAAUAUUAAAACAGAGCAUAUACACAAAUUAGACAGAGAAAGGAGUAUGAACCUCAUCCUCCUCGGUGGUCAACUUGACUAAGUGGGUAUGAUAGUCGCUCCUUGUUAUCUGGGCCACUUGAAAUUCUGCAGCUUGCUAAGAGAAAUCACACAACAAAACAACAGAUUCAAGUUAGUGAAAAAUCAAAAAAUGAAACAACAAGAAGCAAAAACCAAGAGAAUAACAAACACAUUGCAACAAAAACGAAAAAUAAAGCUAACAGAAAUCACACAACAGAUUCUAAGUUAGGGAAAAAAUAAGAACCAAAAACUCACCGUCGUAUAGGCGCUGUAGCCUAUGAACUAGACCUUCCAGCAUCAUCUCGAAUUCAUCCGGUAGUUCAUGUCUCUCAGUUACGGGCUUACAAGGGUGAUGACCCACGCUCGCAUUUUACUCCUAUUCCUGCUGAUAUGAGAGGUAAAAAUAUUUUGGAAGGAACAGAAGUAGAAGAUACGUCUGAAGAACUUGAGAAAUUUAGAGAGAAACUCUCUCAGAGUACUUUCAAUGAAGGAGAGAAGUACAAUAACAACUCUGUUUCUGCGAGUGAACCUUCCAACUUAACUAAGACAAUAUCUCAUUUAUCUCCUCCUAUUCCCGAAAAUUC
rnacentral:lncRNA from 1 species